UACGUAGGGGGCAAGCGUUGUCCGGAAUCAUUGGGCGUAAAGCGCGUGUAGGCGGCCCGGUAAGUCCGCUGUGAAAGUCCAGGGCUCAACCCUGGAAUGCCGGUGGAAACUGUCGAGCUAGAGUCCGGAAGAGGCGAGUGGAAUUCCUGGUGUAGCGGUGAAAUGCGCAGAUAUCAGGAGGAACACCAAUGGCGAAGGCAGCUCGCUGGGACGGUACUGACGCUGAGACGCGAAAGCGUGGGGAGCAAACAGG
rnacentral:rRNA from 1 species